GACGUAGGGCGCAAGCGUUGUCCGGAUUUAUUGGGCGUAAAGAGCUCGUAGGCGGUCUGUCGCGUCGGCUGUGAAAUCCCGAGGCUCAACCUCGGGUCUGCAGUCGAUACGGGCAAACUAGAGUAUUGCAGGGGAGACUGGAAUUCCUGGUGUAGCGGUGAAAUGCGCAGAUAUCAGGAGGAACACCGGUGGCGAAGGCGGGUCUCUGGGCAAUAACUGACGCUGAGGAGCGAAAGCGUGGGGAGCGAACAGG
rnacentral:rRNA from 1 species